GACAGAGGUGCCGAGCGUUAGGCGGAAUCACUGGGCUUAAAGCGUGUGUAGGCGGCCCGUUAAGUGCCUCGUGAAAUCCCCCGGCUCAACCCGGGAAAUGCUUCUGAUACUGGCGGACUUGAGGCCAGUAGGGGUCACUAGAACUGACGGUGGAGCGGUGAAAUGCGUAGAUAUCGUCAGGAAUGCCGGUGGUGAAGACGGGUGACUGGGCUGGUUCUGACACUGAGGCACGAAAGCGUGGGGAGCGAACGGG
rnacentral:rRNA from 1 species